UUUGGUGACCAUAGAGAAGUGGAAACACCUGAUUCCAUUCCGAACUCAGCAGUUAAGCACUUCAUCGCCGAUGGUACUGUACACUAGAGUAUGGAAGAGUAGGACGUCGCCAAAUCU
rnacentral:rRNA from 1 species